rnacentral:tRNA from 3 species
AAGACAUUAGUAAAAUGAAAAUUACACCGCCUUGUCAAGGCGGAAUUACAGGUUAAAUCCCUGUAUGUCUUA